rnacentral:rRNA from 1 species
GACGAACGCUGGCGGCGUGCUUAACACAUGCAAGUCGAACGGAAAGGCCUGCUUUCCCUUGUGGAUUGCGGGUACUCGAGUGGCGAACGGGUGAGUAACACGUGAGUGAUCUGCCCCCAACUUGGGUAUAAGCCUGGGAAACUGGGUCUAAUUCCCGAUAGGACUGCAGGGUGGUGCCUGUGGUGGAAAACGAUUUUCUAGUGGUUGGGGAUGAGCGCGCGGCCUAUCAGCUUGUUGGUGGGGUAAUGGCCUACCAAGGCGGCGACGGGUAGCCGGCCUGGGAGGGUGGACGGCCACAUUGGGACUGAGAUACGGCCCAGACUCCUACGGGAGGCAGCAGUGGGGAAUAUUGCACAAUGGGCGGAAGCCUGAUGCAGCGACGCCGCGUGGGGGAUGACGGCCUUCGGGUUGUAAACUCCUUUCGACCGCGAGGAAGCCACCUGGUUGGAAGGGUGGUGACGGUAGUGGUAGAAGAAGCACCGGCUAACUACGUG